CUUGCUGAAUCAUUUUAUCAAGUAUAUGUAUCUUCCUUUUAGAGAUAUAUCAUGUAUUUGGUUUUGUUUAGCGCCAUACCUUUUGAGACAUUGUAUAUAGCACUUUGUUAUUAUCCAGCUCUUUGCAGUUUCUGCAGGUUUAAAGAGUAUUUUAUCAAGGAUUCUAGAGAGACGUGGGUUUGUACUUGAAGAUUCUUAAAUUGUGAAUCACUGUUCUUGUAGCAUGAACCCGUGACAUGAGAGAGUUUGCAAAGUUUAUUAUGAUUCGAUAUCCACCGAAAAGUGUACAACA